UUAUAUUUAGAUAAUCCAUGAAUAUGUGGUAAACUUCAAAUACUACCUUGUGAUUUCAUACUUUCUCACUUUAGUGUUCUGCGGUUUAAAAUUAUCAAGUUAGUCUCUAUAGUUUCAUAUUUUCUCACUUUAAUAUUCUGUGGUUUAAAGUAUAUCAAGUUAGUGCACUGUGAUUUUAUUUUCUCUUUUUAUUAUCUAUUUCACUAUUUUUUUUUCGUUAAAUCAGUGACAAAGUUAACAUUAAAGGGUACUAUAGUAAAUAUUCGAUAAACCUAGGUAGGGUAUCUAAAGUUUUUUGUAUAUAAUUUAACGAAAUAUUAAAGGAGGAAAAAAAAAUCAGUGAUAAAGUUAAAACUAAAGGGUACUAAAGUAAAUAUUCGAUAAACCUUGGUAGGGUAUCUAAAGUUUUUUUUUUAUAAUUUAACAGAAUAUUAACAAAGGAGCCGACGAAAAGAAAAAAAUGAAACCACAUGGUAAAAAAUUGAUACAACUUUAAACCAUAGGGUACUAAAGUGAGAAAAUGCGAAACCAUAGGGUACUAAAUUGAUACACUUUAAACCAUAGGCUACUAAAGUGAAAAGUGCGAAACCAUAUGGGCGGUAUUUGAAGUUUUUCCAUUAAUAUGCAAGCUGAGUUUGUGAGUGGAAUUAAUUUGUUGAAUCACUAGAAAUUCUUAAAUGAUGUUAAAUAUAAAAAAAAAUUAAAUAUCAUUAUUUAUUAGCUUAAGUUUAGAAAGAAUAAUAAUUAUUUUAUAUUAUUUAAUAUGAUAUCAAAAUAGAAGGUGUUGAGUUCGAGUCAUGUCAGGCUCUUAUUAUUAUUAACUUAAUUAAAGUUUUAAAGAAUAAUAAUUAUUUUAUAUUAUUUAAUAUGAUAUCAAAAUAGAAGGUGUUGAGUUCGAGUCAUGUCAGGCUCUUAUUAUUAUUAACUUAAUUAAAGUUUUAAAGAAUAAUAAUUAUUUUAUAUUAUUUAACAGAUGAAAGGAGAAUAUAAUGUA
rnacentral:lncRNA from 1 species